rnacentral:lncRNA from 1 species
GUCAAGAUCCCAGGAAGAGUGUUUCUCAGUAAGAAUGUAAGGUGCAAGGCAGAUGAACAUAUUGCAUAUUGAAGGGGUUUAAAUAGUGUAUGCCCUCAAGGACUGAGGAUUCAAGGCAGUAGACCUGCUAAACUUAAAGUCACAGGGUAAGACUGACAUCUUUUUGAAUUAUCUGAAUCUGGUGGGACAGAAUUUUAGUUGGCUAUUUUAUUAUCUCACACUUAACUUCUUUUUAUUGAUUAAAUUUUAAUUGAUUAAAUAUUUUGUGUAGGUGAACAUUUAUGUGUUUUGUUGACAUACUGAUAUGAUUACAGAGUGAAAGUUAAGCAUUAUACGUGCUAUUGUAAAGAAAAGGAGCAUUAUGUAACUUAUUUCAUAUCCAAACAUGUAUGGUAUGUAAGACUAGUCAGUCAAAUCACCAAAAAACAUCAAUCUAUUAGGGGCAAGAAGAUUCUUGGAAUUUCCUAAUUAGAAUAUUUUACCCUUUAGAAAUAAUUGUUUAUUUCUGGCAUAUAUAUCCAGAACCUUGAAAUACCCAAUUGAUCAGAAAGUUUUUAGAUCAUGAGUUGACCAAAUUUAUAUGGUAAUCAGAGAAGUUUCUUGUGUAUAGAAAAUUCACGGGAUGCCUGAGUGGCUCAUCGGUUGAACGUCUGCCUUCAGCUCAGGCCCUGAUCCCAGGUCAGGGGAUCAAGUCUCACAUCAGGCUCCCUGUGAGGAGCCUGCUUCUCUGUCUUUCUAUGUCUCUGCCUCUCGCUGUGUCUCUCAUGAAUAAAUAAAUAAAUAUAUUUUUAGAAAAAGAAAAAAGAAAAUUCACGUGGAGGUUGUGAAGUAAUAAGGCUUUAAUGACAACCUAUGUUUUAGUACAAAAUAGAAUUUAGACCACUUCUGACGAUGUGUUUUGCAUCAAUGCUAUCAGGAAUCUAAUGGAAAAUGCAGAUGACUGGGCCCCUGUCCUAACAAUUCACCCUGUCACCAAUAAGACAGCCAUUCACCUGCUCAAAGGAUGUGGGGAAAUGCUAAACUUUCAGAAAUUGUGUGUAUACCUAUGCAUUUACAUUGAGUAUUUUUUAGGAAAAAAAUUAAGUGAGUUUUACAAAGACUUUUUUGUUACCAAAAAGUCUAGGUCAACCCUAGGUGUUACUUCAAUUUGAUAGUACUGAUGACAAAAAAAAAUUGAAUUAGAUUCUACAGCAAGCAAAAGACUAAUUUUCACACAUGCGCUUUGUUAUAAUGUGACUAAAAUUAAAAUAUUGGUGUGUAUGAUAUAAACAAUUGAGUAAAGCAGAACGAGCAGCAGUAUGUACCUUGAAAGAAAAUAAAUGAUAUCGUUUGAAAUGCCA